rnacentral:lncRNA from 1 species
AAUAUCAAACUUUUGUUCAUUUUUUAGAAUUGAAUUUAACUAAAAAUGUGAAGCAACUAUAUCUCAAACUUAGAAUCUCGAAUACCAACCAUUAAAUUAUUACCAACUGGGUUAGAUAUAGUUGAUAUGUUGUUUACAUAUUGUGUCAUUCAUGAUGUGAAGGAUUUUAAUUAGUUUGUACAUAAAGCUAAGGAGCAAUUGUUUAUAUACUACUAAAAAGUUUUCAAGAGAAGGCUAAUAUUGAAAAUACUUUUUUACGUUCCAUCCUAUUUCAAAUAUAUCUCAAGAGUUAAAUUCUGUUAAUAAGCUGUUAGCAUUAACUGUUAUCCGUAUGAAUUACUAUUUUGCCCUUUCAAAUAUACCCUUUCAAAAUCACUGACUUUUUUUAUUUGCUCUUAAAUUAGGAGUACAAAAGGUAUUUUGAUUAUUGAUAUUUUCAAAUAUACCAUUUUACCAUCACCAACAUUUCUUAUUUGUCUUUUAAGUUAAGGACAAAAGAGGUAUUUUGAUUUUUUUUUUAAACUAUAGUAAAUAUUUAACUCAUAUUUAACUCAAGUUAACUCAGCGAAUAGUGACCGCAGGGAUAUUUUGGAAUAACGGAGAAACAUAUGGGGAUAUAUUGAAAAGAAAAAAAAAAGUGACGGUAAAUAAGAUAUUUCUAAAAUAUUGAAGGGUAUAUAGGUAAUUAUUCCUAAAGUUAAUUUAGUAAG